AUGUUGAUAUUGUACUUUAUGGAUGGUAGAUACAGGACAUGCUUUGAAUUCAUAAGAUUUAACAAUACAGUCUUAGGGACAGAUCUGGUGGCCAGAGUCUUGAGACUUGACUUAGACUUGACGUAAGACUUG